rnacentral:rRNA from 1 species
AGGGAUCAUUACCGAGUUUACAACUCCCAAACCCAAUGUGAACGUUACCAAACUGUUGCCUCGGCGGGAUCUCUGCCCCGGGUGCGUCGCAGCCCCGGACCAAGGCGCCCGCCGGAGGACCAACCAAAACUCUUAUUGUAUACCCCCUCGCGGGUUUUUUUAUAAUCUGAGCCUUCUCGGCGCCUCUCGUAGGCGUUUCGAAAAUGAAUCAAAACUUUCAACAACGGAUCUCUUGGUUCUGGCAUCGAUGAAGAACGCAGCGAAAUGCGAUAAGUAAUGUGAAUUGCAGAAUUCAGUGAAUCAUCGAAUCUUUGAACGCACAUUGCGCCCGCCAGUAUUCUGGCGGGCAUGCCUGUCCGAGCGUCAUUUCAACCCUCGAACCCCUCCGGGGGGUCGGCGUUGGGGAUCGGCCCUGCCUCUUGGCGGUGGCCGUCUCCGAAAUACAGUGGCGGUCUCGCCGCAGCCUCUCCUGCGCAGUAGUUUGCACACUCGCAUCGGGAGCGCGGCGCGUCCACAGCCGUUAAACACCCAACUUCUGAAAUGUUGACCUCGGAUCAGGUAGGAAUACCCGCUGAACUUAAGCAUAU